CCUACGGGUGGCAGCAGUGGGGAAUUUUGGACAAUGGGCGAAAGCCUGAUCCAGCCAUGCCGCGUGAGGGAAGAAGGCCUUCGGGUUGUAAACCUCUUUCGGCCGGGACGAAAUCGCAUCGGUUAAUACCCGGUGUGGAUGACGGUACCGGAAGAAGAAGCACCGGCUAACUACGUGCCAGCAGCCGCGGUAAUACGUAGGGUGCGAGCGUUAAUCGGAAUUACUGGGCGUAAAGCGUGCGCAGGCGGUUUUUUAAGCCAGACGUGAAAGCCCCGGGCUUAACCUGGGAAUGGCGUUUGGGACUGGAAGGCUGGAGUACGGCAGAGGGAGGUGGAAUUCCACGUGUAGCAGUGAAAUGCGUAGAGAUGUGGAGGAACACCGAUGGCGAAGGCAGCCUCCUGGGCCAGUACUGACGCUCAUGCACGAAAGCGUGGGGAGCAAACAGGAUUAGAUACCCUUGUAGUC
rnacentral:rRNA from 1 species